UCCAAAAAUAGUUAAAUCUAA
rnacentral:piRNA from 1 species